rnacentral:rRNA from 1 species
UAUAAUUUAAAGUAGGGCCUGCCCACUGAUUUAUAUUGAAGGGCCGCAGUAUUUUGACUGUGCAAAGGUAGCAUAAUCAUUAGUUUUUUAAUUGAAAGCUUGUAUGAAUGGUUUGAUGAAAAAAUGACUUUCUUUAAUUUAAUAAAAAUGAAUUUUAUUUUUAAGUUAAAAAGCUUAAAUAUUUAUAAUAGACGAGAAGACCCUAUAGAGUUUAAUUUUUAAAAGUUAAUAAAUUUUUAGAAUUUUUUGAUUUCUUGAUUUUUAAGAAUUUGAUUGGGGUGAUUGAAAAAUUAAUAUAACUUUUUUUUUUAUUAAUACUAUUAAUUU